UUUCAAAAUGUUCGGUUUCAGUGACCUGGUGCAGCGCUUGCGUGAGGAUGAACGGCCAAACCGCAUAGAAAAAGCUGCUGUUUUGAAAAUAACCGCGUUCGUGUGGACGGCCAAUGAGCGCGCGCGUUGAGCAUUCAAAUCAUAUUUAAACUGAAGCGGAGGAGGUUACCAUGGUAACAGGGCGUCAACUCACUCAGCUGACAAGAAGCAAGAGGCUGUCUCUUCUGCUGUUUUCACUGCUUUCAGGUAAGUUUAGUCCCUAAAGUUACACAAAUAAUACAUACAACUGUUCCUGACACUUUCUUACAUGUUACUGACACGUUUCUGUUGAAUCUUUACUUUACAGGAGUGGUUUAGUGUCUUCAAAAAGACCGUUAGCAUCACAACCGUUAACUAUAGAGGCUAACAAUUAGAGGAGCGUCAGAAAAAAAUACCUAAAACAGGGGAAGUUACAAGAAAAUUUGUAAUGAGAGCUGCUGACAGAGAUACAGGAAACACAGAGCUGGAGCGGAGCGGAUCUCCUGUCGUAGAACAUCUCCAAAGCGCCAUGAACCAUCUGACUAGGCAGUUCGUGAAGACGGAUAACCUGGACAGAAGUCGGUUCCAGAUCCAGCCUCCACACCAGACUUCUCACUCACAAGGAUUGCUGUCUACUAGAUAUGUGUACUCUUCAGACUUAGGUUCAUGCAGAUAUUAUUCAGGGACAUGAACACUUGAAUACUGCAAAAAUAGAGAAACUACCUUAUUUAAGAAUUUUGUGUUAAUUGCGUGAACAUUAAACAAAUAUAUGUUUUUUUUGUUUUGUAUUCCAAAGCACCUAAAAGCCAAUUCACACUGCCAUACACCAACAGGGUGAACACACUGACCAAGCAAAACAAAUAAGCAAGUUUUUAUAGUUUUUGUGAAAGUGUGA